UGGUGUUACAGAAGCUUGGGAUAGGCUUGAGAAAGCAACGAUUGACAAUGUCACGGCAACUCAGCUUCCACUAGAGGACCAUCAUCAGAGUGAGGCAGAAGUAGGUGGUGAUGGUGAUGAUGAGGUGGAGGUGGAGCAAGAGGACACACAUCAAAGAGGAGCUCACAGGAUGUCAGCCUUGGAGCAGUUAUUUGCGGAUGAAGACCGGGAACUUCUCCAC